GACGAACGCUGGCGGCGCGCUUAACACAUGCAAGUCGAACGGAAAGGCCUGCUUUCCCUUGUGGAUUGCGGGUACUCGAGUGGCGAACGGGUGAGUAACACGUGAGUGAUCUGCCCCCAACUUGGGUAUAAGCCUGGGAAACUGGGUCUAAUUCCCGAUAGGACUGCAGGGUGGUGCCUGUGGUGGAAAACGAUUUUCUAGUGGUUGGGGAUGAGCUCGCGGCCUAUCAGCUUGUUGGUGGGGUAAUGGCCUACCAAGGCGGCGACGGGUAGCCGGCCUGAGAGGGUGGACGGCAACAUUGGGACUGAGAUACGGCCCAGACUCCUACGGGAGGCAGCAGUGGGGAAUAUUGCACAAGGGGCGGAAGCCUGAUGCAGCGACGCCGCGUGGGGGAUGACGGCCUUCGGGUUGUAAACUCCUUUCGACCGCGAGGAAGCCACCUGGUUGGAAGGGUGGUGACGGUAGUGGUAGAAGAAGCACCGGCUAACUACGUG
rnacentral:rRNA from 1 species